UACGGGGGGAGCAAGCGUUGUUCGGAUUUACUGGGCGUAAAGGGCGCGUAGGCGGUCAGCACAAGUCAGUUGUGAAAUCUCCGGGCUUAACUCGGAAAGGUCAACUGAUACUGUGCGACUAGAGUGCGGAAGGGGCAACUGGAAUUCUCGGUGUAGCGGUGAAAUGCGUAGAUAUCGAGAGGAACACCUACGGCGAAGGCGGGUUGCUGGGCCGACACUGACGCUGAUGCGCGAAAGCCAGGGGAGCGAACGGG
rnacentral:rRNA from 1 species